UACGUAGGGUGCAAGCGUUGUCCGGAGUUAUUGGGCGUAAAGAGCUCGUAGGCGGUCUGUCGCGUCGGCUGUGAAAACCCGGAGCUCAACUCCGGGCCUGCAGUCGAUACGGGCAGACUGGAGUUCGGCAGGGGAGACUGGAAUUCCUGGUGUAGCGGUGAAAUGCGCAGAUAUCAGGAGGAACACCGGUGGCGAAGGCGGGUCUCUGGGCCGAUACUGACGCUGAGGAGCGAAAGCGUGGGGAGCGAACAGG
rnacentral:rRNA from 1 species